AAUCAGAGGCUCCUGCACAUACUCUUUUAUUUUUCAAAUGCCACUUGGCAAUCAUUGUUCCACCUUACCGUUUGAUCUCUUUUUUUUAUAUGGGUUCACACGUGGCUGUUAGAUGAGAUAUGAACCGUGAAAUACAGUUCAAUCUACCUAAGAAACCACGAACCUCUUUUUCUGUUCUCGGUUCAGGCAUUUCUCGUAUUGCUUUUUCUUUCUUUUUUUUUAGCAGGAUCAACCUCGAUUCCUCUUUCGCUCACAAUAAGCCCCAACAACUUACCGGACCGCACUCCGAAAGUGCACUUAUUCGGACUCAACCUCAG
rnacentral:lncRNA from 1 species